rnacentral:rRNA from 1 species
AUUGAACGCUGGCGGCAUGCUUUACACAUGCAAGUCGAACGGCAGCGCGGGCUUCGGCCUGGCGGCGAGUGGCGAACGGGUGAGUAAUACAUCGGAACGUGCCCAGUAGUGGGGGAUAGCUCGGCGAAAGCCGGAUUAAUACCGCAUACGACCUGAGGGUGAAAGCGGGGGAUCUUCGGACCUCGCGCUAUUGGAGCGGCCGAUGGCAGAUUAGCUAGUUGGUGGGGUAAAGGCCUACCAAGGCGAUGAUCUGUAGCUGGUCUGAGAGGGCGACCAGCCACACUGGGACUGAGACACGGCCCAGACUCCUACGGGAGGCAGCAGUGGGGAAUUUUGGACAAUGGGCGAAAGCCUGAUCCAGCAAUGCCGCGUGUGUGAUGAAGGCCUUCGGGUUGUAAAGCACUUUUGGCGGGAACGAAAAGGACUGUGCCAAUACCACGGUUCGAUGACGGUACCCGCAGAAUAAGCACCGGCUAACUACGUG